GCAGCGGACUCUACGGGAGGCAGCAGUGGGGAAUAUUGCACAAUGGGCGCAAGCCUGAUGCAGCCAUGCCGCGUGUAUGAAGAAGGCCUUCGGGUUGUAAAGUACUUUCAGCAGUGAGGAAGGUGGGUAUGUUAAUAGCAUACUCAUUUGACGUUAGCUGCAGAAGAAGCACCGGCUAACUCCGUGCCAGCAGCCGCGGUAAUACGGAGGGUGCGAGCGUUAAUCGGAAUUACUGGGCGUAAAGCGCAUGCAGGUGGUUUGUUAAGUCAGAUGUGAAAGCCCGGGGCUCAACCUCGGAAUUGCAUUUGAAACUGGCAAACUAGAGUACUGUAGAGGGGGUAGAAUUUCAGGUGUAGCGGUGAAAUGCGUAGAGAUCUGAAGGAAUACCGGUGGCGAAGGCGGCCCCCUGGACAGAUACUGACACUCAGAUGCGAAAGCGUGGGGAGCAAACAGGAUUAGAUACCCUGGUAG
rnacentral:rRNA from 1 species